CGUCACUGUAGCAUUUGUUUGAACGAUCUUUAUAAGAGAAAUGAGAGAAGAGAACGGGAGAGAGAAUGACACUUUGAUCUUGAUAUUUUUACACAAUAAGACACGAGACAGUUAAUGUGAUAAUUAAUCGAGAUCAGGAAAUUGGAGAGGCUUGUUACGAACCGAAAUUACAGAGAAUGAUUAUAGUGUAACUUAACAGUACUGCGAACGAGAUUAGAAGGCUAGACAGGGUAUAGUAUACGGCAGACAAGACGGCAGACUGCAAAGCAAAGGGUUAAGUAAGUGAUGCACCCCAUUCAACUCACUGUUUCUUUCUCUUUUUCUUUUUCUCCGUCUAUUGCUCUAUCUAUCUCUAUUUCACAUUACGGCGAUAACGAUUAUCUACAUUAAAAGACCGUCCAAGGCAGUUACGACGAAAAACGAAGACAUGUAGGAGAUCUCGUAUACACAAUGCUACUGGCAAAGUCGAUUAUGGUGAAUCGUUGAAGCAAUUCACGGAAUCACGACUUGCUAACUAAUGUGUCCGAUGAUAUAACGAAUUACGAGAGAGUAUCCGCAACAUCAACAAGUAGUAAUAGCUCGAACGAACUCUUCCAUUAUCUUAUUAAAUCCACUAAAGAAAGAGAAAGAGAGAAAGAGAAAGAGAGAGAGAGAGAGAGAGAGAGAGAGAGAGAAAAUAUCGAUAUUUUCUCGACUCGGGAAACUUUCUCACGUCAGUUUUAUAUACGAUGCACAUCAAGUGUAAAAUGCGACGUAGACGGACAUGUAAUCGGACGAUCUCGUUUAACGGGAGAUGAAAAAUUCCCGUAAAUAAUAUCUACGUGUCUCUGAUAGCUAAGGAUACGCUGUCAACAUAUACGUUCCAUGAAAUGACACGGGUGAGAUUUUAUUUUCAAUAUGAAAAAAGUAAAUUAAAUUGUGUACAAGCGAAUGCUGUUCUUAGAUAUCCUUUCUCCUUUCUCCUUCAUUCGGUUUUCCUUCCGUUCUCAGAUUUCGUAAGUAAUCACAUAGUGCGGUUCUGUAAUUAUUUUCGAAAUCGAAUGGAUAACAAUCGUUUCUUGAGUUUAUUGGUCAUCGAUAAUCGAUAAGAACGGGAGUAGUAUCUUGAAGGAUUGAAAGUUUUUUGAUAUUGACCCAUUGUUUCGUGACUGUUCUUUUAACAAGCAUUUACCCUUUUCAAACGUAGAUCCGUACAUUCCAUUUACUUUCGUCUUCAAUUUCUAGUCGAAUUUAUUUUACGAUUCUAUAUAAACGUACAUCAAAAGGACAGCGAACGUAUUAAAGAGAAAGAAGGAUUGACCCUCGAAAGAUGGUUCCGUCUUUGACGUCUCACCAUGUCCUUGAACGACGCGGAUGGGAUUCCUCGAUUCGCUUCACGAAUUACUAGAGACGUGAAGAUCCUUCCAAGGAAGCUACGAAGGAACGUUAGCAGCUGCCACGUGCGAUUGCGUACGAUAAAGUAAAGAAAAUGAGAUGGAUAAAGAGAGGGGGAAAGUGAGAGGGGGAAAGUGAGAAAAUUAUUUGACUUUGAAACGUCGAGCUAUCUGACUAUGCAGAAACAUACGAGUAUCUUCGUGGAUCAACUCUAAUAAACUUAAAAAUGAUAAUGAAUGAAGAAUCUGAUGUGUUUUCGGUCACAAAUUGUUAAAACAUUAAUUGUUACAAUGAUGUUUGAAAUAUGAAUAUAAAUUAAAAUGAAUUGACAGAAAGGAGAAAGAUUAAGGGUUGUAAAAAAAAAAAAAAAAAAAAAAAAAAGGAAGAAAGAUUUGUUUUUCUACAUUUCGAAAUGACGCAGAAUAAGAGUCGUUUCUACCGAGAAGAAUCUGGGGACCGGUUCUUACGGCAGGUUUUUACCUCUACUAUUAAUAAACGUUAUAAGUACAUA